UACGAAGGGGGGCUAGCGUUGUUCGGAAUUACUGGGCGUAAAGCGCGCGCAGGCGGUCUUCCAAGUCAGUGGUGAAAGCCCGGAGCUCAACUCCGGAACUGCCAUUGAAACUGUUGGACUUGAGUACGAGAGAGGUGAGUGGAAUUCCCAGUGUAGAGGUGAAAUUCGUAGAUAUUGGGAAGAACACCGGUGGCGAAGGCGGCUCACUGGCUCGUAACUGACGCUCAGGCGCGACAGCGUGGGGAUCAAACAGG
rnacentral:rRNA from 1 species